rfam:Actinobacteria bacterium RBG_13_55_18 RBG_13_scaffold_48, whole genome shotgun sequence.
GGCUUUUUUCGGGGCGGAGCUCGACCGCCAACAGAGGAAAUGAUCACCUACAUCGACCGCUACAGGGACCGUUUCGGGGUCGAGCCGAUCUGCAAGUAUCUGCCGAUCGCCCCG